UUAUGUGAGGGUGAUCUGGCUGCAACAUCUGUUACCCCAUUUAUUGCAAGAGUUGAUUCGGCUGAUCUGGCUGGCUAGGUGAGUGUCCCCUUCUUCCCACACCACUCAGUGUGCAUCCCUCCCGAAGCUGCAUGCUCAGUGGAAGAGGACGACGUCCCAGGUAUAGAAGGAGUAUACCGAGGUCUCCAGUCUUCGAUCCCAGGUAUACGACAGCUGCGCUCCCCUGCUAGAACCUCCAAACAAGCUCAAGGUCAAUUUGUAAAAUGAGGCACCUGCCUCAACCAUCGUGUUUUUGGAAUCAUGUAAAGUGACAAAU
rnacentral:snRNA from 1 species